AUUGAACGCUGGCGGAAUGCUUUACACAUGCAAGUCGGGCGGCAGCGCGGGGGCAACCCUGGCGGCGAGCGGCGAACGGGUGAGUAACACAUCGGAACGUACCCUGUCGUGGGGGAUAACGAAUCGAAAGAUUCGCUAAUACCGCAUACGACCUGAGGGUGAAAGCGGGGGAUCGCAAGACCUCGCGCGAGAGGAGCGGCCGAUGGCGGAUUAGCUAGUUGGUGGGGUAAAGGCCCACCAAGGCGACGAUCCGUAGCGGGUCUGAGAGGACGGCCCGCCACACUGGGACUGAGACACGGCCCAGACUCCUACGGGAGGCAGCAGUGGGGAAUUUUGGACAAUGGGGGCAACCCUGAUCCAGCCAUUCCGCGUGAGUGAAGAAGG
rnacentral:rRNA from 1 species